rnacentral:lncRNA from 1 species
GGGAAAUAUCAUGCAAAUGGUGGGCUUAACACACUGAGGGGCUUCCCGUUUAUACAUCCAAGACUUGGUGAUGAGUAGGAAGAACCUCAAGUUUCACCGAGUGCUUCCCAAUAUGCUGAUGAAAAUGGCCUGGGCUUUGAGGUCCAGCUUCCUCUCCCACUUCAAAUGACUGACAGGGGCCCAGCAGUGCCUCCAGCAUGGCCACUUUCUCCCGCAGGGUCACAACCUUGGUGCCUGGUGGUCCUGGGGCUUCGGUCAUCCUUCAGCUUCCACUGUCCUGGCCCUGUACCUCUUCCUCCUCCUCCAACCACCAGGGCAGCGACAGAGACUCAGUGGCUGAACAAAGCUAGCCAGAGCCUUCAGCCUCCUCAUGUUAAGGAAGGGGGCAUAAAAAACAGCGAGAAGUGGAAGCAGCCGCUGAAGAAAAUCAACCAGAAGAAUUUGCCAGCAAGAGGCUUUAACAUCCGUUUCAAAAGUCAUAGAUUGCAAUUUAAAAUGGAAGUUCCCGUUUGAACAAAGAAGGAAAGGUUAUGAGGAAAUACAGUUGGAAAUUACUGAUGUAGAAAGCCAGCGCUGAUUGCUUCUGUCCUGCAGCUCCCCCAAAUGUACGGCCUGGAAACUGCUGCAUUCUCUUGCAAAAGAAUAGCAGAGGGGGCAUAUUUGACUCCCGUCACUCUCAUUACGGCUUGGAGAAUGCAGCUUGAAUGCAUCCUGCGUGGAAUCUCUGCGUUUCUCAUUUAACAUAUUUUAUGGACUGCUUGUCAGAUGGGCCCUGUGUGCUCUGCUCAGAUAAUCUUGGAAACAUAUAUGAGUUAUACAAAUUAUCAUUCUAGAAAAGGAAAUAAAGUCAAUUGACCACUGAUUUUUCUUUUCCCCUCAUCCCAGCGCCUUGUAUAAGCAUCCAAGUGUAAUGAUUGUGAACUCAAAGAGUUUCUGUUUCACUGCACUUUAUCUUUGCAGGUAAUGAAGUUAGCGGGUUCAGCUUUAGUUCUUUUCUGCCUCUCUUUUUCUAUUUCAUUUUUCACCCAGCAAAGGCCGC